rnacentral:misc_RNA from 1 species
AAAAGAAGUCAUACAUUAGUUACUGCAUGAAUUUCACACCGGACCUUUACCUUUGUCUGUAAAUCGUGGAAUGACCAAAAAGCCCUUAUCUCUGCUUCUCCUUCGUUGGGCUCGCUUUUUCGCACCAACUUUCUUCUUCGUCCUCUGUAAAACCUAAAAUUCAUUUGCUUAAUUCUCUUUCUGCAGUUCUAAAUCCUUUUGUCUAUGCACUCUACUGUAUAAAAAGGGUUUCCAAUUUUCUCCUAAUUAAGAGGUCAGAGUGAAAACGGGAACAAAUUUAUUUUUAUUUUCAUUUUCAUUUUCAAUAAAUCUCAAUUCUAUAUGUAUUGGUUGAAUUCGAAUUCUACUAAUCAUUGCAUAUAUUCCAAAAACUUUUUGGUUGGUUCCGUUAAACCCAUUUGUGUAAUGUUAUCUGCUUUUAUUUGAAGGCGAAACCUUUUUGUGAAUAUAUAUAUUUUAUGUUGGGUUCCUUGAGACCUGCAAGAUGGCAUCAAGUUUGCACCAAUGGGAAUCGGACCCUCUGUUCUCAGCAGCUGAAGUGGUUCAGGAUUCUGCAGACAGGAUGGAUUCGCUUUUUCGCCUCCUCUUGCAUGACCAAAAUCUUGUUCAAGGUGACCAUCCCGACCCAAGGCUGCUUAUGUCAAUAGAAAAUCACAAGCGAGAUCUUGCAACCAUACUUGAAACUGCAAAAUGGCAGUUGGAAGAUUUUGAAAGAGCUGUCAACUCAUCAGCUAUGCAAGACAAAUCUCGAUCUAAGGAAGAUGUUAUUUCUAGGCAUUAUCAGUUCAUUAGAGCCAUUAGGGAACAAAUAAAUCACGUCGAGACAAGUGUGGAUGGCCCAUCUAUGGGAGAUUCCAUGAAAAAUUCUGAAUGGAUUAAUUUAAAUGAACAAGAUAGAGAUGGGUUAGCUUUAUUUCUUAUUGGAGGAAAUACCACUGAACAUUCAAAUCAUCAUGACAUGGAAGAUAGUAGCAUUUUGAGAAGAUUCCUUGAUCGGACUUCAUCAUCUAGUUUAAAAGAUGAUGAAAUUGUUGAGCACGGUAACAUAGAAUUCAAGAAUUUAAAAAUGAACGGAGAUGUACAUGCAGACCAUCACUCUGUAAAGGAAAAAUACCUAAGAAAGAUGGAUUCUCCUUUCCCUACAAGAUUAAGCUCAGAUAUGCAAGAGAUCUCUUGUAACAGGCAAGACGAUACUGGCAAUUGGGACCUGGAAGCGAAUGAUGCCACAUCUAAAAGUGUUUUCCGCGAAAAGAAAUUUAGGGCGUUCCAGGGCAGAAUGAACUUUAGAUUCUUGAACAAUCUGUGGGCUAUGAGCGGGAGCAGGGUCACUAAGAGCUAUAUAAAGAGAUUGAAAGAUGGGGAAGAACAAAGGCAAUCCACGAGAUACACUGAUGUUAGUGCUUCUGCACAGGGUCAAUGUGUGGGACCAAGGUUAGGAUAUAGAAGUAGCAGCUUGGAAGGAUUAUUCUCUAGAUUUCGAGCAAAUCUAAUGGUCCUGUUUAGCAGCCUGGGAGCAAGAUAUCAAAUAUUUCCCUUUCAUCUUCCAAUUAAUCGACACACAAUUCAAAUGAUAUUCACGAUAAUCUUUGCACUCAUAUUUUUGGGUAAGUAAAUCACCCUUGCAUUCGUUGUUCUAUUAAUUUUCUUAUCUCCUAUUACCAUUUGUGGUGAUGCCUAUGCAUUUGAUGUUAAAUUUAAAGUGUUUACUACAUUAACUGGAAAAUGAUGAUCUUUCUAUCUUUAUCAAUUCAAUAGUACCUGUACUGGAGCCCCUAAAAUUUGAGUUUGUCUUGGAUAGUGUGCAUGAAAUGUUUGUCACUAGAUCUUAUAAAUGUCAGGCUGUGUUUAUUAUAAAUACUAAAACUCAUCAUCCAAUCAUUGUUUCAAGAACAGUACCUUGAUGUGAGUCAAUUUUCAGUUCUAUCUCUGGUAUAAUGGGGAAAGAGAGCAUAAUUUUAACACUUAAAGAUUGAGGGACAUAAAUGGUAUAAGUGUCUAAGAACAGGGCAAUUAGAACAUUGGCCACCUUUCUACAGGUGGGUCCUUUGGGCCCUACAUAAUAUAGUAAUAACUUUUCCGUUUGAAAUCUUCUUGAUUUCUUUUAACCAAUUUAGAUUUUUUUUAAUGACUUUUUAAUAGCAUGACGGAUGGGCUUCUUUAAUAUGUUUUUAAAAAUAAUUACUAAAUUAGAGAGUUUAUUUUGAAUCCUUUUUUUUUCUUUUUGAGAGGCUACAAGAUCUAUAAUUGUUUAUGUUAGAAAUGAAACAAAGUAUUUCAUAAAUAAAUUAAACAAAAGAAAAUUGUUGUAUGAAUUUUAUUGAGAAAAGAAGCUAAUUGAAGGAAUAUGAAACUAUGAAAUUGAGGAGUUGAUAUGUUUUAUUUAAGAAAUUAAAGAUUAUAUAAAUUUGUAAAAUUUGACAUAGUUAAUAGUGGAUUUGCCUAUAUUAUAGUAUUUAAGUAAUGAAUUUUGACAUUAAAAUAUCAUAAAUGAAAUCUUUAGUUUAAUUAUAUGAAUAUGCUUUAUAGUCAAUUUCUUUUAUUUAUCUAUCCCUUUUGAGUAUCAAUGAGGGAUUUGCAAAUUGUUAAGUUCAUACUUCCAUCCACUCUCAUACGAAAAUUUUUAAAAGCAAAAGAGAUUGUUAGAGUUUGAAACUUUCACUUCUUAUGAUGAUAAAAACUUAGAAAAUUGUAGAUGGAGAGAGUUGAAUAUAAAACUUACCGCUUCCCACACCUUUUCAAGAUAUGUAAAAAUUAAAAAUCAAAUCAGAUCUAAUUGAUAAGUAUUUUUUUAUAUAUUUAGAUGAAUUGUCUAUUCUAUUGUACAUUUAUUAUUAUUGCUAUUGGUAAAGUUAAUUAGACCUGCACAACAUGCAAUUUGCAAGCUUGUAUAUGAUCUAUGCGCUCUUCGCCUUACUUGUUAUUAGUUAAGUUGCUUGACUAUGGACUCUGUUAACAAUUUGGAAGAUCUAUUUAAAUUUAUGGAACUCCUGAGGUCUCUUACUACUUUUGUCUUUCUUGUGUGCUAGAAAACAUAUGCCUUUUUGUCAAUGAGUUUAUUGGUUAUUAGAGAGAGAGAGAGAGAGA